rnacentral:rRNA from 1 species
GGAGAUUGGAAUUCCUGGUGUAGCGGUGGAAUGCGCAGAUAUCAGGAGGAACACCGAUGGCGAAGGCAGAUCUCUGGGCCGUAACUGACGCUGAGGAGCGAAAGCAUGGGGAGCGAACAGGAUUAGAUACCCUGGUAGUCCAUGCCGUAAACGUUGGGAACUAGAUGUAGGGGCCAUUCCACGGUUUCUGUGUCGCAGCUAACGCAUUAAGUUCCCCGCCUGGGGAGUACGGCCGCAAGGCUAAAACUCAAAGGAAUUGACGGGGGCCCGCACAAGCGGCGGAGCAUGCGGAUUAAUUCGAUGCAACGCGAAGAACCUUACCAAGGCUUGACAUAUACCGGAAACGUCCAGAGAUGGUCGCCCCGCAAGGUCGGUAUACAGGUGGUGCAUGGUUGUCGUCAGCUCGUGUCGUGAGAUGUUGGGUUAAGUCCCGCAACGAGCGCAACCCUCGUUCUAUGUUGCCAGCACGUGAUGGUGGGAACUCAUAGGAGACUGCCGGGGUCAACUCGGAGGAAGGUGGGGAUGACGUCAAAUCAUCAUGCCCCUUAUGUCUUGGGCUUCACGCAUGCUACAAUGGCCGAUACAAAGGGCUGCAAUACCGUAAGGUGGAGCGAAUCCCAAAAAGUCGGUCUCAGUUCGGAUUGAGGUCUGCAACUCGACCUCAUGAAGUCGGAGUCGCUAGUAAUCGCAGAUCAGCAACGCUGCGGUGAAUACGUUCCCGGGCCUUGUACACACCGCCCGUCAAGUCAUGAAAGUCGGUAACACCC